GACAGAGGGUGCAACCGUUGUUCGGAAUUACUGGGCGUAAAGCGCGUGUAGGCUGCUUAGAAAGUCGGAUGUGAAAGCCCUGGGCUCAACCUAGGAAGUGCAUUCGAAACUUCUGAGCUGGAGUGCUGGAGAGGAAGGCGGAAUUCUCGGUGUAGAGGUGAAAUGCGUAGAUAUCGGGAGGAACACCAGUGGCGAAGGCGGCUUUCUGGUCUGCUCUUGACGCUGAGGCGCGAAAGCUAGGGUAGCAAACGGG
rnacentral:rRNA from 1 species